GUGGCCAGACAUACAUGUCAGCAGAUUAAAAGCAGAAGUUCUGUAAAUGGGAAACACACACAUGAUUCUUGAACUUCUGCUUGAACUUCAAAUUUAUCUUACAGGUGUAAAAAAUUGCUUACACUGUGCUAGAAUGCCAAAGGAGGGUGGUUGAUAGAAUUGUGUAAAGUAAAAAAGAACCCACUCCAAAAUGUAACCUUGCUUCUUAGUGGCUUUUGCUUGAAUGUGGUGUUGACCUCAUAAAUGAGGUCAAAGGAGGGAAUGUAAGAUAAAUUCAGUUCAGUACAAAUUUAUUAACAAAACUUAUUUUUAUUAACAAUGUGUAGGCCUUAUAGAAAAUCAGAGUCUAUGCAUAGACACAGUGUGCAAGACAAACACUUACAGAGAGCAGAGCCUAAGAAACAGGAGAGCCUACAGUCCAUCUGGCUUAGCAAGGUCAAGGCAGUGGCUACUUAGUAUGUUUGAAGCUCGGGCGGAAGAUGAAAUGUUGGGAGUUUCCAGACAGAUAAGACAGUCAGCAGAUGGGAGUAGAGGCGCUCACAAAGCCAUGAUUGUCACACAGAAAUUAUGUGUUAUUGCGGAGAACUAAGGUGCAGGGUACCAUCCUGAGGGGCGGACACCAGAGGCCCAGAAAAUGACCUCAUUGGGUUAAAGACUUAAAAGUCUAGUUUCACUGUACCUGUCUUCAGAAUGCAUUCUCCAGCUUUGCCUUGAUGGUACUCUGUGUUAAGUCAAGCAAGCUGUAUUUGUGUCACUAUUUACCAGUAAAACUUAUCUUGUAACAACCAAAUGCUUCGUAUGGUGGUCUCUCUCUAAACCAACACGCAAGAGUGAAAAAUACUCUUACAAUAUGGGGGCUUAUCCAAUUUGAUUACUUAAGCACUGCCUGUGAACACAGUGAUUUUCAUACUGAACCUGUCUGUAUUGUUUGAUUUGGAAUACAUAGGAUUUGAUCAAUGCAAACCAAUAGUCGAUCAUUUAGGGAAAUAAAGGAUUAGUCCUCACAUGUUAGUGUACCCACUAGGGAAGCCUAGGGAAGGUUUUAAGUUGGCCAGAAAUAUCAUUUCAUUUCUCUGGGAACCUGAGGUUCUCCCAAGACCUUUGGUGCCUGGUUUAAGUGUACCUGUAGUCCAUACUGUUCUGAAAAUACCCCUACUGCAUUAUUUUUACUGUCUGAUUGUAUACCUCACCAAAUGUUUUAUCAAUCAUACCAUUUGUAUCUGUGAUUUGUGGGAUUAUGAGAAAAUGUUUGUCUGUUACAGGGUUUUUGUCACACUUUAUAACUGCCUACAGAGUAUUAAUACACGUCAAGGGUGUAUUAGAAUGCACAACAUUGUCAAAGGGUUGAAUGCGAUAGUAUUUCUAAUGGAUCAUGAGACGCACACGCGCUUGCUCGGUAAAUGGCUGGGGUUCAGGAAGCAGCCAUAGCGGUUUAAUGUAUGUACAUUUACUUAAGCACUGUUUAAUGUACACUAUCGAAUGCUGUAUGCGCCGUUUAGUUUCUAUUGAACACUGAUUGUUUUAUGAAUAGAUUACCUGGGUAUUGUAGAGGAUUAGUCCUCAUAUUGUAAGAGAAAAUCAAGUUUAUUGAUGUCACCAAUGUUUAGUCAUCAACAAGCAGUUCAGUUGAAGUUCAUGUCAAGCAAUUUAGCUCAAACAACAAACAAAUUAAUAACUAAUUUCACGGUGCUAAGAAAAGAGGCCUAUUACCCUGAGGUGUCGCUGCUGGUGUGAAUUUGACAUGGCCAGCACGGGCCAGCAGUGACAGUGGCCGUAACUUACAACUUUUUAGGUCAGAAAGAACACCAUGGGACAAGGACAAGAUAAGAUUAACAGCCGAACUGUGAGAAUUGAGGUUCUCAAACUGAGGCCCCAUUGUUAAAGAGUUAGUUAGUUACAGCUCCCCAGGGGAUCCAUGAUUAAGCAACAUUGUCGCGACUGUGGGGUUAAAAGAUUGAAUUGCGUAUGUGAGUGUCAGAAUGCAUUCUCCAGUCGUGGGUGACAGAGCUCUUUGUGAACUCACCUAAGACUGUAUUUGUACAUCUCUUGAAACUCAGUAAACUCAACUGUAUUCAUAAAAAAAAAAAAAAAAAAAAAAAAGAAGGAGUGAACUGAGACGUGAAACAGAAGUGAAAUAGAAUCAUAUGAAAUGGCGAACUAGCGUUCCCGAGUUAGAUCAUUUUAAAUAAAGAAUGUUGCUUUUUCCCAAGUGAUAGGAUGUUCUGAGAGAGACACACACACAUGGUUCACACGCUAUACUCCCUGCGCUGAAGAAGGAGAAAGGAGGGGGGCCACACGCCCACCCAGACACAUACCUCCGCACACACUUUUCGCACACACUUUAGAUUACACACACUUUACACACCAUUAUUUAGCACCCAGAAAAUUAGUGGGCAGAGGCAAACCUCUGUCUACUUUGACCCCUGUAGUAAGAAAUUAUUUGGCCGGAUGAUUAACUUGAUAUCCCAGCAGGUACGGACUGGUGUGGAGACAGAAGACCAAGGCUGUUUGAAAAUACUUCCAGUGAUCAUAGGAGAUCAGGAUGGGUCGAGGAGGAGAAAUGGGAAACAGAAUGAGGCACUUCAGGAUGCAUGGUCUGAUUGGCCCGACAUCACAGAGCACAUGUACUGGCGUGAACCACAGAUGAAAGAAUUUGAGGAAUGGGAGCGUAGAGAGCAGCGUAAGAAACGUAGUAAGAAGCGUAAGAAGCGUAGACAGCAGUAUUAGGUGGCAGGGAAUGAAAGUGCGUAUGAAUGGAGGCUCUUGCUUAAUUGCGCUGGCUAUUUGGCUUAUGUGCUAGGAUUUCAGUAUAGGAGUGCAUACUGUGGAAUGUGCUUAUGUUCUCUCUUUGCCUCUUAUCUUUCUUUCCCUCAUUUUCCAACAUAAUCGCAUUGUUUAAAUCAAAUGUGCCUAUGUUCUCUCUUUGUCUCUUAUCUUUCUUUCUCUCAUUUUUCCAACAUAUAAUCGCAUUUUUUUAAUCAUACGUAAAGGAAUGCAUAGUUAAAUGUGUUACAUAGUUAAUUAAUUUUUAGUAGGGCCUGUAUUAUGAGAGGUCUUAUUUACUAUAUAGUCAAAGGUUAAAGGAAGUGCAUAAUUUAAACUUUCAAUUGAUGUAGCAUGUUUAUUAGGUCAAAUAUAUACUGUAGUAUUGCAUGGUACCGUGUGUACAAUAUACCCAAUUGCAUUUUUUUUUUUUUAUAAGAAUAGGUGUUUAGACACUAAAAGGUUGCGCUCUGAGGGCAGACCUCAAGCAAAAAGCGCGAGCGGUUCUACCAAAGCUUUGGUGAAUUGAUACCUGAAAGGGGGCAGGUAUCCCCGCGACAGAGUAAGCGCCUGGAGGUGUGUUAUGCUUAUGCUGUGCUAGAAUGCGAAAGGAGGGUGUUUUGAUAUUAUUGUGUAAAGUAAUUAAGAAAACACCCCACAAUGUAACCCUGCUUUUUAGUGCUUGCCUGAAUGUGGUGUUGACCUCAUAAAUGAGGUCAAAGGAGGGAUUGUAAGAGAAAAUCAAGUUUAUUGAUGUCACCAAUGGUUAGUCAUCAACAAGCAGUUCAGUUGAAGUUCAUGUCAAGCAAUUUAGCUCAAACAACAAACAAAUUAAUAACUAAUUUCACGGUGCUAAGAAAAGAGGCCUAUUACCCUGAGGUGUCGCUGCUGGUGUGAAUUUGACGGGGCCAGCACGGGCCAGCAGUGACAGUGGCCGUAACUUACAACUUUUUAGGUCAGAAAGAACACCAUGGGACAAGGACAAGAUAAGAUUAACAGCCGAACUGUGAGAAUUGAGGUUCUCAAACUGAGGCCCCAUUGUUAAAGAGUUAGUUAGUUACAGCUCCCCAGGGGAUCCAUGAUUAAGCAACAUUGUCGCAACUGUGGGGUUAAAAGAUUGAAUUGCGUAUGUGAAUGUCAGAAUGCAUUCUCCAGUCGUGGGUGACAGAGCUCUUUGUGAACUCACCUAAGACUGUAUUUGUACAUCUCUUGAAACUCAGUAAACUCAACUGUAUUCAAACCUAUUGCUUCAUGGCGGUCUUUCACUUGAUUCUCUGUAAACCAACACGUAGAAAUAGUAUAAUUUAACAGCAUGCAAGUGACUUAACCCUAACUUAACCUGGGGAUGAUUAUAAACUUAUUGCUAAAAACAACCUGGUAAUAUUGGUGCUAUAUUCAGAUUUGCCUAUAGUUUACAUUGGUGCAGAUAAUGUUAUACUUUUAUUGUGAGUGUACUACUGCAUUAUUUGUAUACAUUGCUGUAUGGUUAUAAUGUUUGUAUUUUUCUAUGCAUAUGUGACAAUGGGUUUCAUAAGAAUGAGUGUGCUUCAACCAUUCGGGAUUGCCCCAGUGGUUCGUGUAAUGAUUAUUUGUGAGCUCAUCUAGGAGUGCCCUAGUUAUACAAUAACAUAGUGUAAUGGGAUGUAUUGUGAGUUAGUAUAGUCACAUGAAUAUUGAUAUAUCAAGUGCACAUGAUGAUUAAAAUAAGGUUAAUUAUUGGCUUUGCUGCAUAGUCAGUAAGAUGUGUUUAUGUUGCAGUAUAGUGUAUUGCUAUAGUAAAAUAGAAUGUAGUUUUGUGUGUCUAAUAGACACAAAGGGGGGAAUGUUGGAUAUUUUUUAUAAGUUGAUGAACAUGGAUUCAUUCAUAAGUAUGAAAAGCCUCAGUCAAAAUGGCUGACAAUCAAUAUCAAACAGUUGCCUGUUUAGAGGCAGAUAUGGAGACAAGAUGAAUUGACUUUGCCACAAG
ensembl:lncRNA